rnacentral:tRNA from 1 species
CAAAAUGUAGUUUAAUAAAAUCCUCUCGCUUACACCGAGACCAUAUCUGUUCGACUCAGAUCAUUUUGA